AACGAACGCUGGCGGCAUGCCUAACACAUGCAAGUCGAACGAGACCUUCGGGUCUAGUGGCGCAAGGGUGCGUAACGCGUGGGAACCUGCCCUUAGGUUCGGAAUAACUCCCCGAAAGGGGUGCUAAUACCGGAUAAUGUCUUCGGACCAAAGAUUUAUCGCCUUUGGAUGUGCCCGCGUUGGAUUAGCUAGUUGGUAGGGUAAAAGCCUACCAAGGCGACGAUCCAUAGCUGGUCUGAGAGGAUGAUCAGCCACACUGGGACUGAGACACGGCCCAGACUCCUACGGGAGGCAGCAGUGGGGAAUAUUGGACAAUGGGCGAAAGCAUGAUCCAGCAAUGCCGCGUGAGUGAUGAAGGCCUUAGGGUUGUAAAGCUCUUUUACCCGGGAUGAUAAUGACAGUACCGGGAGAAUAAGCUCCGGCGAACUCC
rnacentral:rRNA from 1 species